CUCAAGCAGAUGUCAACAAUGGUAGGGUUCUCUACCGUCCCCCACCUGGACAAUCCAGUCUGUCAAAACUCCAUAGGUGUUCAUUUUCAGUGUCUAAUGGAAAUAACACCACACCGGAGAUGGACUUGAUUAUCCACUUGCUGGCCAGUGACCCAAGGCCUCCAGUCCUUCAGGUCUUGGACCCAGUGCUGGAGGUGAACCUGGGUGACACAGCUCCUUUAGGUGUUCCAGAGCUGGCUAGGACCGGUCUGGAAGUAGCCCCAGGCAGACUUCAGUUU